UACGUAGGGCGCAAGCGUUAUCCGGAAUUAUUGGGCGUAAAGAGCUCGUAGGCGGCUUGUCGCGUCGGCUGUGAAAACUCGGGGCUCAACCCCGAGCCUGCAGUCGAUACGGGCAGGCUAGAGUCCGGCAGGGGAGACUGGAAUUCCUGGUGUAGCGGUGAAAUGCGCAGAUAUCAGGAAGAACACCAACGGCGAAGGCAGCUCGCUGGGACGGUACUGACGCUGAGACGCGAAAGCGUGGGGAGCGAACAGG
rnacentral:rRNA from 1 species